UACAGAGGGGGCAAGCGUUGUUCGGAAUUACUGGGCGUAAAGGGCGCGUAGGCGGCCUGCUAAGUCGAACGUGAAAUCCCUGGGCUCAACCCAGGAACUGCGUCCGAUACUGGUUGGCUUGAAUCCGGGAGAGGGAUGUGGAAUUCCAGGUGUAGCGGUGAAAUGCGUAGAUAUCUGGAGGAACACCGGUGGCGAAGGCGGCUUUCUGGACAGAUACCGACGCUGAGGCACGAAAGCUAGGGGAGCAAACAGG
rnacentral:rRNA from 1 species